rnacentral:rRNA from 1 species
UACGUAGGUGACAAGCGUUGUCCGGAUUUCCUGGGCGUAAAGAGCGCGCAGGCGGUCGUUCAAGUCGAGUGUGAAAGCCCCCGGCUCAACUGGGGAGGGUCACUCGAUACUGAUCGACUCGAAGGCAGGAGAGGGAAGUGGAAUUCCCGGUGUAGUGGUGAAAUGCGUAGAUAUCGGGAGGAACACCAGUGGCGAAGGCGACUUCCUGGCCUGUUCUUGACGCUGAGGCGCGAAAGCUAGGGGAGCAAACGGG